rnacentral:rRNA from 1 species
GACGAACGCUGGCGGCGUGCUUAACACAUGCAAGUCGAGCGGUAAGGCCCUUUCGGGGUACGACGAGCGGCGAACGGGUAGAGUAACACGUGGGUGACCUGCCCUCAGCUCUGGGAUAAGCCUGGGAAACCGGGUCUAAUACUGGAUAUGACUCCAUGACGCAUGUUGUGGGGUGGAAAGCUUUGUGCGGCUGAGGAUGGGCCCGCGGCCUAUCAGCUUGUUGGUGGGGUGANGGCCUACCAAGGCGACGACGGGUAGCC